UACGAAGGGUGCAAGCGUUACGUCGGAAUUACUGGGCGUAAAGCGUGCGUAGGUGGUUUGUUAAGUCUGCUGGUGAAAGCCCCGGGCUCAACCUGGGAAUGGCAGUGGAUACUGGCAAGCUAGAGUGCGGUAGAGGGGUGUGGAAUUCCCGGUGUAGCGGUGAAAUGCGUAGAGAGUCGGGAGGAACACCAACGGCGAAGGCAGCUCGCUGGGACGGUACUGACACUGAGGCGCGAAAGCGUGGGGAGCGAAC
rnacentral:rRNA from 1 species